rnacentral:tRNA from 1 species
UCCUCAGUAGCUCAGUUGAAGAGCGGUCGGCUGUUACCGGACUGGUCGUAGGUUCGAAUCCUUCUUGAGGAG